AUGAAUCAACCAGAGAUUUCUGCCAUGUGUUCAUCCAUCUACCUGAGCCUGUGCGAGCACAGACAACAAGUAGCAAAGCCUUAUUUAACUAGUCAACCAGCAGCAGGUCAUGUAGAGUGGAGACUCUCGAUUCAACCAAACUUUGUUUCACAGUUACAGCAGAGAUGGCUGCACAUUUCUAACAGAAACCGAUUCUGCAACGGUGAACAACGACACACUUCUCCCAAAUGCCACAGGUUGCAAGGAGGGGAACCACAUAAGACUGCAACACAAGUACUAAAAAAACGUCUUAUAUUUUGA
rnacentral:rRNA from 1 species